GGGUAUAGCUCAGUGGUAGAAUGUGUGCUUAGCAUGCACAAGCUGCUGGGUUCAAUCCCCAGUAUCACCA
rnacentral:tRNA from 1 species